rnacentral:rRNA from 1 species
CAGUAGCCGCGGUAAUACGAAGGGUGCAAGCGUUAAUCGGAAUUACUGGGCGUAAAGCGCGCGUAGGUGGUUCAUUAAGUUGGAUGUGAAAGCCCUGGGCUCAACCUGGGAACUGCAUCCAAAACUGGUGAGCUAGAGUACGGUAGAGGGUAGUGGAAUUUCCUGUGUAGCGGUGAAAUGCGUAGAUAUAGGAAGGAACACCAGUGGCGAAGGCGACUACCUGGACUGAUACUGACACUGAGGUGCGAAAGCGUGGGGAGCAAACAGGAUUAGAUACCCCCGUAGUCCCUGUCUCUUAUAC